rnacentral:rRNA from 1 species
AUUGAACGCUGGCGGCAGGCCUAACACAUGCAAGUCGAGCGAGUGGCGGACGGGUGAGUAAUGUCUGGGAAAAUGCCCGAUGGAGGGGGAUAACUACUGGAAACGGUAGCUAAUACCGCAUACCAUCGGAUGUGCCCAUAUGGGAUUAGCUAGUAGGUGGGGUAACGGCGCACCUAGGCGACGAUCCCUAGCUGGUCUGAGAGGAUGACCAGCCACACUGGAACUGAGACACGGUCCAGACUCCUACGGGAGGCAGCAGUGGGGAAUAUUGCACAAUGGGCGCAAGCCUGAUGCAGCCAUGCCGCGUGUAUGAAGAAGGCCUUCGGGUUGUAAAGUACUUUCAGCGGGGAGGCGUUACCCGCAGAAGAAGCACCGGCUAACUCCGUGCCAGCAGCCGCGGUAAUAC